rnacentral:rRNA from 1 species
CCUACGGGAGGCUGCAGUGGGGAAUAUUGGGCAAUGGGCGCAAGCCUGACCCAGCAACGCCGCGUGAAGGAAGAAGGCUUUCGGGUUGUAAACUUCUUUUGUCAGGGAAGAGUAGAAGACGGUACCUGACGAAUAAGUCACGGCUAACUACGUGCCAGCAGCCGCGGUAAUACGUAGGUGGCAAGUGUUGUCCGGAUUUACUGGGUGUAAAGGGCGUGUAGCCGGGUUGACAAGUCAGAUGUGAAUUCCUGCGGCUUAACCGCAGAACUGCAUUUGAAACUGUUGAUCUUGAGUACUGGAGAGGCAGACGGAAUUCCUAGUGUAGCGGUGAAAUGCGUAGAUAUUAGGAGGAACACCAGUGGCGAAGGCAGGCUGCUGGACAGCUACUGACAGUGAGGCGCGAAAGCGUAGGGAGCAAACAGGAUUAGAUACCCUUGUAGUC